GGUUUAGCUAUGAUUGGGAGUAGUAAUAUUUUUUCCUACCUUUAGAGAGCUAUGGUUUGGUGUGACAUAGUGGUAUGAGAAUAUGAACUUGCCUAUGAGCUUAUGUGUUAAAAGCACAUACGGUUUUUACCGUUAUUUAUUUAAAGUGAGAAGUAGACUUUUAGUCUCUUCUAAUAAGAGUGGUACCGCGAAACUAUCCCCUUCGUCUCUUAA
rnacentral:ncRNA from 1 species